GAUCUGUUGGUGAAUGGUUCACACCCACUCUUCUUCAAGCACUCCUGCGGCAGUAGAAAAUGGGAGGUCCCGGUUCGAUUCCGGGUCAGGUCA